UACGUAGGGGGCGUAGCGUUGUCCGGAAUCAUUGGGCGUAAAGAGCGUGUAGGCGGUCCGGUAAGUCCGCUGUGAAAGUCGGGGGCUCAACCCUCGAAUGCCGGUGGAUACUGUCGGGCUAGAGUGCGGAAGAGGCGAGUGGAAUUCCUGGUGUAGCGGUGAAAUGCGCAGAUAUCAGGAGGAACACCUAUUGCGAAGGCAGCUCGCUGGGACGUAACUGACGCUGAGACGCGAAAGCGUGGGGAGCAAACAGG
rnacentral:rRNA from 1 species